rnacentral:rRNA from 1 species
GACGAACGCUGGCGGCGUGCUUAACACAUGCAAGUCGAACGGUGAAGCGCCUCCCUUUUUGGUGGGUGUGGAUGAGUGGCGAACGGGUGCGUAACACGUGAGUAACCUGCCCCCUUCUUCUGGAUAACCGCAUGAAAGUGUGGCUAAUACGGGAUAUUCUGGGUCUGUCGCAUGGUGGGUCUGGGACAGAUAUUGGGUCUGUGGGGGAUGGGCUCGCGGCCUAUCAGGUUGUUGGUGGGGUGAUGGCCUUCGAAGGGUGUGGCGGGUAGACGGCUUGAGAGGGUGGACGGCCAGACUGGGACUGAGACACGGCCGGGACUCAUACGGGAGGCAGCAGUGGGGAGUAUGGAGCAGUGGGGGCAAGUCUGAAGCGGCGACGCGGCUGGUGGGAUAGCGGCCUUCGGGUUGUGAACCCCUUUCGCUAGUGAAGCACGCCUGCCUCGUUUGUGGGUGGGUUGACGGUAGCGGGAUAAGAAGCGCCGGCUAACUACGUG